rnacentral:misc_RNA from 1 species
GUGCGUAUGGCUUCUUGCGUUGUGUUACUCCAUGGAUAAGGUGCCAAAUUUAAAUAAGAAUGGAAAUUUUAGAGGUUAAUUUUGUGGCCAACUCCAAGCCCAAUUUAAUUUCUGUAACAUUUUUCUUUGGUUAUAUGAUCUAUACAUCUUGCUUUUCAUGUGUUCUCGUUUACAUUGGCAUCAUUGUUGUUGGUAUGAAAUGAAGAUAUGCUACUUCAUCUUGAACCAUAAGAUUCUUUUGAUUCUGG